rnacentral:rRNA from 1 species
GACAGAGGGUGCAAACGUUGUUCGGAAUUACGGGGCGUAAAGCGUGUGUAGGCGGCUAUUCAAGUCGGGUGUGAAAGCCCCGGGCUCAACCCGGGAAGUGCACUCGAUACUGGGUAGCUUGAGUCUUGGAGAGGUUGGUGGAAUUCUCGGUGUAGAGGUGAAAUUCGUAGAUAUCGAGAGGAACAUCGGUGGCGAAGGCGGCCAACUGGACAAAGACUGACGCUGAGACACGAAAGCGUGGGGAGCAAACAGG